GUGGGGAAUAUUGGACAAUGGGCGAAAGCCUGAUCCAGCAAUGCCGCGUGAGUGAUGAAGGCCUUAGGGUUGUAAAGCUCUUUUACCAGGGAUGAUAAUGACAGUACCUGGAGAAUAAGCUCCGGCUAACUCCGUGCCAGCAGCCGCGGUAAUACGGAGGGAGCUAGCGUUGUUCGGAAUUACUGGGCGUAAAGCGCACGUAGGCGGCUACUCAAGUCAGAGGUGAAAGCCCGGGGCUCAACCCCGGAACUGCCUUUGAAACUAGGUAGCUAGAAUCUUGGAGAGGUCAGUGGAAUUCCGAGUGUAGAGGUGAAAUUCGUAGAUAUUCGGAGGAACACCAGUGGCGAAGGCGGCUCACUGGCUCGAUACUGACGCUGAGGUGCGAAAGCGUGGGGAGCAAACAGGAUUAGAAACCCUGGUAGUCC
rnacentral:rRNA from 1 species